rnacentral:rRNA from 1 species
AUUGAACGCUGGCGGCAUGCCUUACACAUGCAAGUCGAACGGCAGCACGGGUGCUUGCACCUGGUGGCGAGUGGCGAACGGGUGAGUAAUACAUCGGAACAUGUCCUGUAGUGGGGGAUAGCCCGGCGAAAGCCGGAUUAAUACCGCAUACGAUCUACGGAUGAAAGCGGGGGCCCUCCGGCCCUGCGGUAAUGGGGUGGCCGAUGGGUGAUUAGCUAGUUGGUGGGGUAAAGGCCUACCAAGGCGACGAUCAGUAGCUGGUCUGAGAGGACGACCAGCCACACUGGGACUGAGACACGGCCCAGACUCCUACGGGAGGCAGCAGUGGGGAAUUUUGGACAAUGGGCGAAAGCCUGAUCCAGCAAUGCCGCGUGUGUGAAGAAGGCCUUCGGGUUGUAAAGCACUUUUGUCCGGAAAGAAAUCCUUGGCCCUAAUACGGUCGGGGGAUGACGGUACCGGAAGAAUAAGCACCGGCUAACUACGUG